GAAGGCAUUGCUACAACGCGUCGUAAGCCGUCAGGUGGACACCACGCCUAUUUCCUUGUGUUGGUGUUUCGUCUACGGGGGAGUUUGGGUGUGAUUCAUCGUGUUUUGGUCGCGCAAUCGUCUCGGACCACCAUCGUUGCCAAAUGUCAUGUACUGGGUGUAGCUCGAAAUUCGGGCUUCUCCACAGAGAGUAUUCCUGUCCCAACUGCCAAUUCUCCUACUGCGCCAAAUGCCUGAAGACGACCGUGUUCGUACCUAAGCUGGGCAAGCAACACAAGGUCUGCAGGACCUGCUGCGAGACUAUAAACAGGACUACUGCUAGCAAAACAGAAGAAAUAGAACCACCUGCAGCUCUACAAAAGCGGAUGGAUGCCUUGAACAAGCAGCAACCACAGGGCGAACGUUCCGCUCCACGUGGCGAUGAUGGGUCCUCUCUUCGGAUUGAAGAAAUCGAGAGCCGGCUUCAGAAGCUGCGUCAGGACACCAAAGAUGUCAUUCCAAUCCAUGCCGACAUCGAGGAAAGACUCGCAAAGCUCAAAGAGGUUGACGUCUCCUACUAUCGUCAGCCCCCUAUCACUGUGUACGCAACCGAUGCAGAAAAAGCGAGCAGUCUCUUUGCCGAGGUAAUGCACAAGGUGUCCAUCGACAGACGUCGAGCGCAAGUCAUAAAGUCGACCACUGACGAAAUGGAACGCCGCCUCAGAUGCCUGCGCGAUCUCAGCAGAGAUUCUGUGGAUUCGGGCGCUCAGGAGUCCAAGGAUGAACAAUCGUCAGAUGCUCCUGCUACAACACAUGUAGCAGAACUUCGGCAAUCUGCACAGACAGCGAGUGACGGCAAAGAGGAUCCGCCAAUCGACGAAGUGGCGCGUCUCAUGAGCGAGGAGCUGAAGGCAGCCGAAGAGGCGGCGAAAAAGUCUGUCGAUGAUCUCCGAAAGAACAAGGAGCUCAUGGAGGAGCUCCGUAAGAUCAAGACCAAGAAAACAAGUACAAAAAAGGAAGACGACGACGAUCCGGAUUCGGACGACAGCGCAGAAGCGGACGCCAUUGUAGCCAAGGUUCUUGAGGAAGCGAGACUCGAGGAACUCGGCGAUUUGCAAGAGCUCGGCUUGGACGAAGGCGGCGAGGUUGGAAGUUGAGGAGCUUCCGUGGUGCGUUAUCUGUAACGAAGAUGCUGUCCUGCGCUGCCACGGAUGUUCUAAUGACCUCUACUGCCGCCGCUGCUUCAAGGAAUUCCACGACUCUGAGCCGCAUGAAACAACGCUGCUAAAAAAGUAGCACUUGACUCUCCGCUAGUGCCACUAAGUAUUUAAGUGAAAAGAGCUUCGGAUAUGCCGCCAGAAAUUUAUUUUCUACGGCCAAGUCACCAUUGUUAAGUUGGCAUGUCGUGUCCUGGCACAACUGAAAUCCAUAAGUGCACGCUGUACAAGAGCUUUUACCAUUUCUUUGCUUGUUGUCUGUUGCAAAAAAAAAAAAAAGAACGAAGCGUUCAAUGACCAAGGUGUAUCUGUCUGUAAAAAAGAAGUGCUUUGACAUUCUAUCAAAUAAACAACGCUGUCUGUCAAGUGAA